GACGAACGCUGGCGGCGUGCCUAAUACAUGCAAGUCGAACGCACUCUCGUUUAGAUUGAAGGAGCUUGCUCCUGAUUGAUAAACAUUUGAGUGAGUGGCGGACGGGUGAGUAACACGUGGGUAACCUGCCCUAAAGUGGGGGAUAACAUUUGGAAACAGAUGCUAAUACCGCAUAAAACCUAAACACCGCAUGGUGUAGGGUUGAAAGAUGGUUUCGGCUAUCACUUUAGGAUGGACCCGCGGCGCAUUAGUUAGUUGGUGAGGUAAAGGCUCACCAAGACCGUGAUGCAUAGCCGACCUGAGAGGGUAAUCGGCCACACUGGGACUGAGACACGGCCCAGACUCCUACGGGAGGCAGCAGUAGGGAAUCUUCCACAAUGGACGAAAGUCUGAUGGAGCAACGCCGCGUGAGUGAAGAAGGUUUCGGAUCGUAAAACUCUGUGUUGGAGAAGAAUGUAUCUGAUAGUAACUGAUCAGGUAGUGACGGUAUCCAGCC
rnacentral:rRNA from 1 species